UAAAAAACAUGGUGUUUAUUUGUGCAUGUAGUUAGGCAUUUGGGCCCCACUAAGCAGCAGCUCCUUUAGUUUUUGUCAUGGUCGUUUUGCGUGGAAAUUUAGAUAGGUGGAACCCCCCCUGAUUGGCUUACAUGUGUAAUUAGUUCUCGUGGAUGAGUGGCAAUGGCACGCGCGUGGUGACUGGUGAGCGAUGUGCCAAGAGCAUUGCGCCUGCUUUCUGAACUACUGAUGCCAAGUGUUGUACUCCCUCUGUUCACUUAUAUAAGACGUUUUAGCAAAUUCAGACAGUGUACUAAACAGUUCAAACCCAGCUGUCUGAAACGCCUUAUAAAAGCGAACGGAGGGAGUACAAUGUUUUGCCGCACACAAAUACAGUUUCUAGAUUUGGUGUAGAUGUGUCUGAAAUAAGAUGUGCCGGCUCAGUAUCUCGGAGGUGUUGAUAC
rnacentral:lncRNA from 1 species